ensembl:snRNA U6 U6 spliceosomal RNA
GUGCUCACUUUGGCAACGCAUAUACUAAAAUUGAAAUGAUACAGAGAUUAGUGUGGCUCCUGUAGAAGGAUGACAUGCAAAUUCAUAAAGUAUUCCAUUAAAAA